rnacentral:rRNA from 1 species
GAACGCUGGNCGGCGUGCUAAUACAUGCAAGUAGGACGCACAGUUUAUACCGUAGCUUGCUACACCAUAGACUGUGAGUUGCGAACGGGUGAGUAACGCGUAGGUAACCUGCCUAUUAGAGGGGGAUAACUAUUGGAAACGAUAGCUAAUACCGCAUAACAGUAUGUAACACAUGUUAGAUGCUUGAAAGAUGCAAUUGCAUCGCUAGUAGAUGGACCUGCGUUGUAUUAGCUAGUAGGUAGGGUAAAGGCCUACCUAGGCAACGAUACAUAGCCGACCUGAGAGGGUGAUCGGCCACACUGGGACUGAGACACGGCCCAGACUCCUACGGGAGGCAGCAGUAGGGAAUCUUCGGCAAUGGGGGGAACCCUGACCGAGCAACGCCGCGUGAGUGAAGAAGGUUUUCGGAUCGUAAAGCUCUGUUGUUAAGGAAGAACGAGUGUGAGAAUGGAAAGUUCAUACUGUGACGGUACUUAACCAGAAAGGGACGGCUAACUACGUGCCAGCAGCCGCGGUAAUACGUAGGUCCCGAGCGUUGUCCGGAUUUAUUGGGCGUAAAGCGGAGCGCAGGCGGUUAGAAAAGUCUGAAGUGAAAGGCAGUGGCUCAACCAUUGUAGGCUUUGGAAACUGGUUAACUUGAGUGCACAAAGGGAGAGUGGAAUUCCAUGUGUAGCGGUGAAAUGCGUAGAUAUAUGGAGGAACACCGGUGGCGAAAGCGGCUCUCUGGUCUGUAACUGACGCUGAGGCUCAAAAGCGUG